rnacentral:rRNA from 1 species
AGCGAACGCUGGCGGCAGGCCUAACACAUGCCAGUCGAACGAACUCUUCGGAGUUAGUGGCGGACGGGUGAGUAACACGUGGGAACGUGCCUUUAGGUUCGGAAUAACUCAGGGAAACUUGUGCUAAUACCGAAUGUGCCCUUCGGGGGAAAGAUUUAUCGCCUUUAGAGCGGCCCGCGUCUGAUUAGCUAGUUGGUGAGGUAAAGGCUCACCAAGGCGACGAUCAGUAGCUGGUCUGAGAGGAUGAUCAGCCACAUUGGGACUGAGACACGGCCCAAGCUCCUACGGGAGGCAGCAGUGGGGAAUCUUGCGCAAUGGGCGAAAGCCUGACGCAGCCAUGCCGCGUGAAUGAUGAAGGUCUUAGGAUUGUAAAAUUCUUUCACCGGGGACGAUAAUGACGGUACCCGGAGAAGAAGCCCCGGCUAACUUCGUG